rnacentral:misc_RNA from 1 species
GGGCGGAGGAUGGCGAGUCGUGGAUUGGGGACGGGGAGGCGGUGGGGCCCGCGGGGGACGGCGCAGGCGCCGGAGAGGACUCGGGUGCAGCGAAGACCGCCGCGGAGGUGACGAGGAGGAGCAGGGGGAAUAACGCCGCCGGCGCCGCCAUGAAUGCUAGAUCUGAGCGGUGCGGUUACCGGAUUUUGUGGGGUAGGGUCACCGCUC